rnacentral:lncRNA from 1 species
AGUUGAAACAAUGGUAUAAAGCCCCCUUUGGCUCAGCUAUAGCUCUGGAGUAUUCCAUUGGGCCUGCAGCUCUGAAAAUUCCAAGCCAACUCAAACUGCCCACUCACAGAGCCAAGAUUAGAAACAGGCCUCAAAUGGCAGACAUGGUGGCUAGAUAUUGGAUAUACGGUGGCAAAAACAAGGUUCCCUGUCCUCAAGGGGUUUAUACUUUCCUAUGGCCAUAAAUAGGAAAACAAAAUAAAUGCAAGGCUCCUUCAAUUGCUCUUAUGUGGCCAGGACAACAAAGCUUUUACCAUGCAAGUUUCCCUCCUUUGGAAGUUCUACAGAUCAUCCUUCUUAU